GCUUUCAACUCUCUGAACUUCGGUUCCUCAUCUGCCAGUUGGCAGACGCUCAGCAAAUCUUCCUAGACUCACGGGGCGAAUUGUACAGUUGGGUAAAUCGAGGCCCAGAGAUGGCAAAAGGACCGUCCAAGGUCGUACAGCCACCCGGAAUUACAAUUCUUUUCUGCCGGGUCACACGCUGUCAUCCACGUGUUACCUAAGAGAGCUUUCCAGCCUGUGCUAAGAAAACUGCCCCACAUCAUCUGCAGUAGGACGGGGGAGUUGGAGCCCUGGUCAGGCCACUCUGCUACUGACCACAGUUUUCUCAUCUCUAAAAAGGCGCAGUAACAAUAUAAUUACCGUAUGCAGUCCCCCAGGAUACAGGGUCAAAGGAGAGCACAACCAUCGCAGUUGGAAGCCCAUGGGGCAGCCCAGUGCAGAUGCAUCUGACUUACGAAACUUCAGUGACACCUGCUCUGUGCCAGACACUGAAGAUGGAGCAGUGAACAGCACUGACCCAGCCUGUCCUCCUGUUGCCUGCAGGCCAGAAGCAAGGUCUCGCUGUGUUACCCUGGCUGGAGUGCAGUGGCUACUUACAGGCAUGAUCAUAGCAUACUGCAGCCUCGAACUCCUGGACUAGAGCAGUUCUCCUGCCUCAGCCUCCAGAGCAGCUGGGACUGCAGACACGCACCACAGAGCCCAGCCUGAGUCAUUUUGAUUCUGUAACUGGCUUCCUCUCGGCGGGCAGGCUCACACCCUCCACCCCCAGCUGGAGAUGGAAGGAGGAUGCUCACCGCCCAUUCCUCAUGCAGGCCAUCGAUGGAAAUGUCAGACAGUGCGAGUCCACGCCUGAACACUUCUGGGGUCCGCUCUGGGACUGACACUGGCAGAUCCAUCGUGGCACCCGAGCUCUGUGAGGGCAAGACUUUGUUCGGUUGUGGGCUAUGCCCCCAACCCCUCGGACAGUGCCUGCACAGGUGGACAUUUUUGUUGGAUGAAGGAUUUUCUGUUAAAUGUGUCUGGCACACACAGAAAAACAAAGCCCAGCAGAUGCCGUUCCAUUGUUUGCUGACUUUCAUUGAUUCUAUGAGAAGUCUGCAGUCUUUUGCAGCGUUGUUUUCCUAUGUAUAAUUGUCUCCUCCCACCCCACUCACCCCAGCUGCUUUCCACAUUCUCUCUCUUUGAUUUUCAGCAGUCUGCCCAUGAUGUGCCUAAAUAGGACUUUCUUUGCAUUCAUCUUGGCUGGGGCUCACUGAACUUUCUGAAUCUGUAGAUUAAUUUUCUUUUUUCAAUAAACCUUGGAAUAUUUUCAGCAUAA
rnacentral:lncRNA from 1 species